rnacentral:rRNA from 1 species
CCUGGCUCAGAACAAACGCUGGCGGCGUGCCUAACACAUGCAAGUCGAACGAGAAAUUCCCUGCUUGCAGGGGAAAGUAAAGUGGCGCACGGGUGAGUAACGCGUGGGUAACCUACCUUUGAAUCUGGAAUAACCAGCCGAAAGGCUGACUAAUACCGGAUACGGUUUUUUAGGCUUCGGUCUUUUAAAUUAAAGGUGACCUCUUCAUGAAAGUUGCCGUUCAUAGAUGGGCCCGCGUACCAUUAGCUUGUUGGUGGGGUAAUGGCCUACCAAGGCGACGAUGGUUAGCUGGUCUGAGAGGAUGAUCAGCCACACUGGAACUGGAACACGGUCCAGACUCCUACGGGAGGCAGCAGUGAGGAAUUUUGCGCAAUGGGGGAAACCCUGACGCAGCAACGCCGCGUGAGCGAAGAAGGCCUUCGGGUCGUAAAGCUCUGUCAAGUGGGAAAAAAAUCUUUUGAUCAAUAGUCAAAAGACUUGAUGGUACCACUGGAGGAA